UGGGCGUGAUGAAGACUCUCAGCCUGACCAGCCUUGUCUGUGGAGGCCAAAGCUGAUUUAAUGAGCCUGAUCC